rnacentral:rRNA from 1 species
AGAACGAACGCUGGCGGCAGGCCUCAAACAUGCAAGUCUAGGGGGUGUAGCAAUACAUCACCGGCGGACGGGUGCGUAACGCGUGGGAAUAUACCUAUUGGUUCGGAACAACUGAGGGAAACUUCAGCUAAUACCGAAUAAGUCCUUACGGAGAAAGAUUUAUCGCCAAUAGAUUAGCCCGCGUUCGAUUAGCUAGUUGGUGGGGUAACGGCCCACCAAGGCGACGAUCGAUAGCUGUUCUGAGAGGAAGAUCAGCCACACUGGGACUGAGACACGGCCCAGACUCCUACGGGAGGCAGCAGUUGGGAAUCUUGGACAAUGGGGGAAACCCUGAUCCAGCCAUGCCGCGUGAGUGAUGAAGGCCUUCGGGUUGUAAAACUCUUUCGCGCACGACGAUAAUGACGGUAGUGCGAGAAGAAGCUCCGGCUAACUUCGUGCCAGCAGCCGC